CAGCCGCCGCGGUAAGACAGAGGAUGCAAGCGUUAUCCGGAAUGAUUGGGCGUAAAGUGUCUGUAGGUGGCUUUUCAAGUCCGCCGUCAAAUCCCAGGGCUCAACCCUGGACAGGCGGUGGAAACUACCAAGCUGGAGUAUGGUGGGGGCAGAGGGAAUUUCCGGUGGAGCGGUGAAAUGCGUUGAGAUCAGAAAAAACACCAACGACGAAAGCACUCUGCUGGGCCGACACUGACACUUAGAGACGAAAGCUAGGGGAGCAAAUGGGAUUAGAGACCCCCGUAGUCCCUGUCUCUUAUAA
rnacentral:rRNA from 1 species